rnacentral:lncRNA from 1 species
AUGCCCAUUAUUACCUUAGAGAGAGUGAUUGGUAUGGAACCCAGUGGAUUUGUGGUACUAAUUUAUAGCCUUCACACCUACAGUGAUGGAUACAAAGGUGUAGCCUGGGAUUCCCAUGAAUUUAAGGUCAUACAUGUUGCACCCAGCGCCUCCCUCAACAAGACGGCCCACCCCUUCGGGGCGAACCUGCCUGCAGACAGCGCCCCGCAGCAGAAUGGACAGCUGCUGCAACCGCUGAUCCCAGAUGCCAGUAAGCAGUGGCUGAUGGAGGACAUGGAGGACUGGUGGGCGAGGCCUGGGACAGGCCAGUCCCGUUCCUUCUGCAUCCUCGCCCACCUCACGGGCUCCGAGUUCAUGCAAGACCCGGAUGAGGAGCACCUGAAGAAAUCAAGGGGCCGCUACCUGGUGGCGCUGGGCCACACAUACUCCUCUGAGGAGUUUGUGUGCAGCCAGUGUGGGAAGGUUCUGGAAGAGGGUGGCUUCUUCGAGGAGAAAGGGGCCAUCUUCCGCCCACCCUGCUACGAUGUGCACUAUGCACCCAGUUGUGCCAAGUGCAAGAAGAUCACCAGUGUCAGAGGUGCCCAAGGCUCACAUUCCACAUCAGGGAGGCUGUGAGAAGUGGCCAGUAUCUGGAUGUAUCUUGAAGGAGAGCCCGGCCGGAUUUCAGAGUGGACCCAAAAUAAGGGACAAAGCAAGGAAUUUGGCCUGUGCAGAUGGAGUCACCAUCCACUGAGACAGACGCUGUGGGAAUGUGCCAGGCGGAUUGUGUGGAGAUUGGGAGCAGAACUUCACAUGUAGCAUAGUGAACAGCCACCAGGCUUCCCUGGCAGCUCAGCUGGCAAAGACUCCUCCUGCAAGGCAGGAGAUCCCAGUUCAAUUCCUGGGUUGGGAAGAUCACCUGGAGAAGAGAUAGGCUGCCCAUUCCAGUACUCAUGGGCUUCCCUGGUGGCUCAGAUGGUAAAGAAUCUGCCUGCAAUGAGGGAGACCUAGGUUUGAUCCUUGGGUUGGGAAGAUCCCCUGGAGGAGGGCAUGGCAACCCACUCCGGUGUUCUUGCCUGGAGAAUCCCAUGGACAGAGGAGCCUGGUGGGCUACAGUCCAUGGGGUUGCAAAGAGUCAGACACGAC